AAAUUGAAGAGUUUGAUCAUGGCUCAGAUUGAACGCUGGCGGCAGGCCUAACACAUGCAAGUCGAACGGUAACAGGAAGCAGCUUGCUGCUUUGCUGACGAGUGGCGGACGGGUGAGUAAUGUCUGGGAAACUGCCUGAUGGAGGGGGAUAACUACUGGAAACGGUGGCUAAUACCGCAUAACGUCGCAAGACCAAAGAGGGGGACCUUCGGGCCUCUUGCCAUCAGAUGUGCCCAGAUGGGAUUAGCUUGUUGGUGAGGUAACGGCUCACCAAGGCGACGAUCCCUAGCUGGUCUGAGAGGAUGACCAGCCACACUGGAACUGAGACACGGUCCAGACUCCUACGGGAGGCAGCAGUGGGGAAUAUUGCACAAUGGGCGCAAGCCUGAUGCAGCCAUGCCGCGUGUAUGAAGAAGGCCUUCGGGUUGUAAAGUACUUUCAGCGGGGAGGAAGGUGUUGUGGUUAAUAACCGCAGCAAUUGACGUUACCCGCAGAAGAAGCACCGGCUAACUCCGUGCCAGCAGCCGCGGUAAUACGGAGGGUGCAAGCGUUAAUCGGAAUUACUGGGCGUAAAGCGCACGCAGGCGGUCUGUCAAGUCGGAUGUGAAAUCCCCGGGCUCAACCUGGGAACUGCAUUCGAAACUGGCAGGCUUGAGUCUUGUAGAGGGGGGUAGAAUUCCAGGUGUAGCGGUGAAAUGCGUAGAGAUCUGGAGGAAUACCGGUGGCGAAGGCGGCCCCCUGGACAAAGACUGACGCUCAGGUGCGAAAGCGUGGGGAGCAAACAGGAUUAGAUACCCUGGUAGUCCACGCCGUAAACGAUGUCUACUUGGAGGUUGUGCCCUUGAGGCGUGGCUUCCGGAGCUAACGCGUUAAGUAGACCGCCUGGGGAGUACGGCCGCAAGGUUAAAACUCAAAUGAAUUGACGGGGGCCCGCACAAGCGGUGGAGCAUGUGGUUUAAUUCGAUGCAACGCGAAGAACCUUACCUGGUCUUGACAUCCACGGAAGUUUUCAGAGAUGAGAAUGUGCCUUCGGGAACCGUGAGACAGGUGCUGCAUGGCUGUCGUCAGCUCGUGUUGUGAAAUGUUGGGUUAAGUCCCGCAACGAGCGCAACCCUUAUCCUUUGUUGCCAGCGAUUCGGUCGGGAACUCAAAGGAGACUGCCAGUGAUAAACUGGAGGAAGGUGGGGAUGACGUCAAGUCAUCAUGGCCCUUACGACCAGGGCUACACACGUGCUACAAUGGCGCAUACAAAGAGAAGCGACCUCGCGAGAGCAAGCGGACCUCAUAAAGUGCGUCGUAGUCCGGAUUGGAGUCUGCAACUCGACUCCAUGAAGUCGGAAUCGCUAGUAAUCGUGGAUCAGAAUGCCACGGUGAAUACGUUCCCGGGCCUUGUACACACCGCCCGUCACACCAUGGGAGUGGGUUGCAAAAGAAGUAGGUAGCUUAACCUUCGGGAGGGCGCUUACCACUUUGUGAUUCAUGACUGGGGUGAAGUCGUAACAAGGUAACCGUAGGGGAACCUGCGGUUGGAUCACCUCCUUACCUUAAAGAAGC
rnacentral:rRNA from 3 species